rnacentral:rRNA from 1 species
UACGUAGGGGGCGAGCGUUGUCCGGAGUUACUGGGCGUAAAGCGCUUGUAGGCGGUCCACCAAGUUUGGGGUGACAGUUGCCGACUUAAUUGGCAAAGUGCCUCAAAGACUGGCGGACUUGAGGGCCACAGAGGGACAUGGAACUCCAGGUGUAGUGGUGAAAUGCGUAGAUAUCUGGAAGAACACCAAAGGCGAAGGCAGUGUCCUGGGUGGUCGCUGACGCUGAGAGGCGAAAGCCAGGGGAGCGAACGGG